GCCCCAGUGGGCGGGUGAGGAGGAGGCACUGGCCUCCUAAGCCAGGGAUUGUGGGUUUGAGUCCCAUCUGGGGUG
rnacentral:tRNA from 1 species